rfam:Salmo salar isolate Sally breed double haploid chromosome ssa10, whole genome shotgun sequence.
UGGCUCAGUUGGUAGAGCAUGGUGUUUGCAACGCCAAGGUUGUGGGUUCCAUUCCCAC